UGGGGAAUAUUGAACAAUGGGCGCAAGCCUGAUGCAGCCAUGCCGCGUGUAUGAAGGAGGCCUUCGGGUUGUAAAGUACUUUCAGCGGGGAGGAAGGGAGUAAAGUUAAUACCUUUGCUCAUUGACGUUACCCGCAGAAGAAGCACCGGCUAACUCCGUGCCAGCAGCCGCGGUAAUACGGAGGGUGCAAGCGUUAAUCGGAAUUACUGGGCGUAAAGCGCACGCAGGCGGUUUGUUAAGUCAGAUGUGAAAUCCCCGGGCUCAACCUGGGAACUGCAUCUGAUACUGGCAAGCUUGAGUCUCGUAGAGGGGGGUAGAAUUCCAGGUGUAGCGGUGAAAUGCGUAGAGAUCUGGAGGAAUACCGGUGGCGAAGGCGGCCCCCUGGACGAAGACUGACGCUCAGGUGCGAAAGCGUGGGGAGCAAACAGG
rnacentral:rRNA from 1 species